UCUCCGUAGGUGAACCUGCGGAAGGAUCAUUCAUAAUAAAGUGUUUUAUGGCACUUUUUAAAAAUCCAUAUCCACCUUGUGUGCAAUGUUAGAUCUCGUCAAUCUUGGCGAGGUUCUUAUACAUCAACUCAUUCUUUAACUAAUUUGUCUGAAAAAUAUUAUGAAUACUUAAUUCAAAAUACAACUUUCAACAACGGAUCUCUUGGCUCUC
rnacentral:misc_RNA from 1 species